rnacentral:lncRNA from 13 species
CUGGGGAAGCAGAGCUGAGCUGCUGAGCCUGAGUUCCUAGUCUCAGAGUCAUGAGCAAAUCAAAUAGCUUGUAUUUAAGCCAGUAAAUUUGGGAAUACUUUGUUAUGCAGCAACAGAGAGUCAAAAACUGUUUUCCAUUUGGAAAUGUUUCAUAUUUUGUGAAGAAAAUUAAAAGAAGAGGUAACAUUCAUCACCACAAAUAUCUAGAGAAAUAAUCAUUUUAAAAAUAUGAAACAAAGCUGCUAGAGAAAAAAGGUGCUGUUGGAAACAUACCGAAGAUGGAGUUACAAAUUAUAGAACACAUCAGUGGCCUUGGAAGGUUUCUGUGUGGUUUUAUUAUUGAAUUAGCCUGUUCUUGCCUGAGAGACCUCAGCUAUGCUUCCUGUACAGCCUGCGGAACUGUCAAGGUGGAAGGCGAGGGGAAGCAGGCACAUUUGUGAGGAAGUCCACAUGACCACGUGGAGCAGAAGCACAGCCACCGUUGACAGUCCCUGAUCAACUCCCAGCCAGCAGCCAGCAGCCAGCAGCCCGUUCCAGCCAUGGACUCCGACAGCCAUUUUGAAACCUCCCAUCCUGACCAACCACCAGCUAAAUGCAGCUAAGUAAACCAUCCCUGUGGACACCAUCUGGAGAAGCAGAAUGGCGCCACUGAGCCUGAAUUUCUAGUCUCAGAGUCAUGAACAAAUCAUAUAGCUUGUAUUUAAGCCAGUAAAAUUUGGGGUACUUUGUUAUGCA